rnacentral:rRNA from 1 species
GACGAACGCUGGCGGCGUGCUUACCACAUGCAAGUCGAACGGAAAGGCCCUGCUUUUGUGGGGUGCUCGAGUGGCGGACGGGUGAGUAACACGUGAGUAACCUGCCCUUGACUUUGGGAUAACUUCAGGAAACUGGGGCUAAUACCGGAUAGGAGCUCCUGCUGCAUGGUGGGGGUUGGAAAGUUUCGGCGGUUGGGGAUGGACUCGCGGCUUAUCAGCUUGUUGGUGGGGUAGUGGCUUACCAAGGCUUUGACGGGUAGCCGGCCUGAGAGGGUGACCGGCCACAUUGGGACUGAGAUACGGCCCAGACUCCUACGGGAGGCAGCAGUGGGGAAUAUUGCACAAUGGGCGGAAGCCUGAUGCAGCAACGCCGCGUGCGGGAUGACGGCCUUCGGGUUGUAAACCGCUUUCGCCUGUGACGAAGCGUGAGUGACGGUAAUGGGUAAAGAAGCACCGGCUAACUACGUG